GAAAUGCGAUAAGUAAUGUGAAUUGCAGAAUUCAGUGAAUCAUCGAAUCUUUGAACGCACAUUGCGCUCGCCAGUAUUCUGGCGAGCAUGCCUGUUCGAGCGUCAUUUCAACCAUCAAGCUCUGCUUGCGUUGGGGAUCCGCGGCUGCCCGCGGUCCGUCAAAAACAGUGGCGGGCUCGCUAGUCACACCGAGCGUAGUAACUCUACAUCGCUAUGGUCGUGCGGCGGGUUCUUGCCGUAAAACCCCCAAUUUCUAAGGUUGACCUCGGAUCAGGUAGGAAUACCCGCUGAACUUAAGC
rnacentral:misc_RNA from 1 species